CCCCCAAUAAAUCGCUGGGAAUAGGAAUAUAGCAUUUCAAUAUUAUAGAACACUUACGGUUUCCCUGAAGUACACUCCGUUCCCUGAAUGCAUCUCUGCAAAGUGCACACCCUGAAUGACUCAAUCUGAUUCCAUUUACAGCCCUUACAGCCAAUAGGAAUAUGGCUGUUCGGGCUAGCUAGCCAAUGGGAUAGAUCCACGAUUCGUCCCCGCAUGCACGGCUCAGUGAUGGCUACUUGUCAGUUGUCACUUGAUUGCAUUGGUCAUCAACCGUCUUUUAGGUAUGACCACGACAUCAAUGACAUCAACAACAGCAGCAGUGUUACGGUCGUAAACACAGUGCUCUGUGGAUCUCCACUUCCAGCCUGCCUGCUUCACUCUCCAGCCUGAAGCACCCGCAAUCACCUCCAACCCAUGCUUCAUCCCUAAUCACCUUUUUUUGUUAGGGUAAAGGUACCAUUAAGCCUAUUCCUCUACUAUCUUAGGAUUGGUGCUGUGAUUUCUUCUUUUUGUAGUAAUUAUCUUACUGCGAACAAAUUAGCUUAAUCUAUUAUACCAAAAAAAAUGUAAUACUUUGGACAGUGUAUAAUCUGUAUGUAACCCCAUGUAACCAAUGUCUUAAAAUGAACAGCCUGGCAUUUCAUCACAGUGAGAAUUGGUCUGACAACAUGGACUUCCUAUUGAAAAACAUGAGGUGGGCUUUAAUGGAACAUAGUCGGCUUAUGGUUCCAUAGUUAUUUCUGGUGAAAAAAAGAUGAUUCAUUACCUUUCAAAUGAAAUAAAUUUAUAUAAAAGUUUGCAUGGAGCCUAAAUAACCUGUCGACUAAGCAUUAUAGUAAUUGUUAUUUAUUCAACGUUUAGAAUUAUCAAGUCAAGUCUCAUUCAAAGUUACAAAACAUUUUAUAAUGUAUGUAUUCAUUCAUUCAUCUAUUACUAAUCAGAAAACAUUUAGGUUAUGUCCUUGACAUGUCUAAUUCUUUAGCAGUGCAUCACCGAACACGGCUAAUGGUUUCACCAUGAGAUCAGCUCAGUGCGCUCUCUCAUGAAACUCCUCUAUGUACUUAGUAGGUCCAUGAGAUUGAUGCACUUAGGUGGGUUUUAUUCAACAUUGGCAAAUGUGAUGGGUAUGCAAUAAAAAUAAUUAUGGAAAUAAGAACUGGCUGGAUUUUGUGUCCUUGUUGUGAUGGUGCAGGUGUUUCUUUGUGUGUGUUGUAAAAAGACUGAUGUUUGAACCCAUUGCCAAAUCGUUUAUGCGUCUAGUUAUAUAGACGAAGCCAACACAUUGCAGGAGAGAUUCUUUAGUUUUCAAACUAAUUGAUGGAGGCACGACCGCAGAGGCCAUCUCUAAUGUACUUCUGCAACAGUUGGGUGUCGUUUGUUCAGCGGAGAAUGAGGUGGACAGAGACAGACUGAUGGCA
rnacentral:lncRNA from 1 species